rnacentral:rRNA from 1 species
UACGUAGGGUGCAAGCGUUAAUCGGAAUUACUGGGCGUAAAGCGUGCGCAGGCGGUUGUGCAAGACAGGUGUGAAAUCCCCAGGCUUAACCUGGGAACUGCAUCCGAUACUGGAUGGCUUGAAUCCGGGAGAGGGAUGCAGAAUUCCAGGUGUAGCGGUGAAAUGCGUAGAUAUCUGGAGGAAUACCGGUGGCGAAGGCGGCCCCCUGGGCUGACACUGACGCUCAGGCACGAAAGCGUGGGGAGCAAACAGG